GGAUGAACGCUGGCGGCGUGCUUAACACAUGCAAGUCGAACGGAAAGGCYCCWGCUUGCAKGGGUACUCGAGUGGCGAACGGGUGAGUAACACGUGGGUGAUCUGCCCUGCACUUCGGGAUAAGCCUGGGAAACUGGGUCUAAUACCGGAUAGGACGAUGGUUUGGAUGCCAUUGUGGAAAGUUUUUUCGGUGUGGGAUGAGCUCGCGGCCUAUCAGCUUGUUGGUGGGGUAAUGGCCUACCAAGGCGUCGACGGGUAGCCGGCCUGAGAGGGUGUACGGCCACAUUGGGACUGAGAUACGGCCCAGACUCCUACGGGAGGCAGCAGUGGGGAAUAUUGCACAAUGGGCGCAAGCCUGAUGCAGCGACGCCGCGUGGGGGAUGACGGCCUUCGGGUUGUAAACUCCUUUCGCUAGGGACGAAGCGCAAGUGACGGUACCUGGAGAAGAAGCACCGGCUAACUACGU
rnacentral:rRNA from 1 species